rnacentral:rRNA from 1 species
AGAGUUUGAUCCUGGCUCAGAUUGAACGCUGGCGGCAGGCCUAACACAUGCAAGUCGAGCGGUUGAGAGUAGCUUGCUACUUGAUGCAGCGGCGGACGGGUGAGUAACGCGUGGGAAUCUGCCCAGUAGUGGGGGACAACAGCCGGAAACGGCUGCUAAUACCGCAUACGCCCUACGGGGGAAAGGGGGGGAUCUUCGGACCUCUCGCUAUUGGAUGAGCCCGCGUCGGAUUAGCUAGUUGGUAGGGUAAAGGCCUACCAAGGCGACGAUCCGUAACUGGUCUGAGAGGAUGAUCAGUCACACUGGAACUGAGACACGGUCCAGACUCCUACGGGAGGCAGCAGUGGGGAAUAUUGGACAAUGGGGGCAACCCUGAUCCAGCCAUGCCGCGUGUGUGAAGAAGGCCUUAGGGUUGUAAAGCACUUUCAGUGGGGAGAAAGGUGGUUUGGUUAAUAACCGGAUCAAUUGAUGUUACCCACAGAAGAAGCACCGGCUAACUCCGUGCCAGCAGCCGCGGUAAUACGGAGGGUGCAAGCGUUAAUCGGAAUUACUGGGCGUAAAGCGCACGUAGGCGGUUUGUUAAGCCAGCUGUGAAAUCCCCGGGCUCAACCUGGGCACUGCAGUUGGAACUGGCAAGCUAGAGUAUGGUAGAGGGGUGUGGAAUUUCAGGUGUAGCGGUGAAAUUGCGUACAUAUCUGAAGGAACAUCAGUGGCGAAGGCGACACCCUGUAUCAAUA